UACGGGGGGAGCAAGCGUUGUUCGGAUUUACUGGGCGUAAAGGGCGCGUAGGCGGUCAGCACAGGUCAGUUGUGAAAUCUCCGGGCUUAACUCGGAAAGGUCAACUGAUACUGUGCGACUAGAGUGCAGAAGGGGCAACUGGAAUUCUCGGUGUAGAGGUGAAAUUCGUAGAUAUCGGGAGGAACACCGGUGGCGAAGGCGGCGUCCUGGACCAACACUGACACUGAGGAGCGAAAGCCAGGGGAGCAAACGGG
rnacentral:rRNA from 1 species